AUGGUGGUAUCAUUGGGAUGCCAGCAAGAGCCGAGGACCUUGUUCUCAUACGACGAGGUGCCGUUUUGGCCACAAUGUCUACACAUGGGUGAUGGCAAAAUCUACAUCCUUAUAGAUAACAUGAACGUGUUCAAGCACUACCCGUGGUUUGUGCUUGCUUUCGACGCCGAUGACGAGAUCAUCACCAGAAUUGAUCUCCCAAAGGAGUCACACACAUUCAACCGUAUGCUGGUGGUUUGUGGCCGCCCGUGCAUCUACGAGAACAAGGGCCAAGACACGGUGCUAUGGUUACUCACCCCGGAUCACAGGUGGGAGCGGCGCUACAUCUUGGUCAAGCAAAGCUCUUAUUGUUUGUCAGCCGCCUUGGACUGCGGAGGUGGCCUCCUGUUUGCAAAGUUCGCCUGUGGUGCCUACUUGUACAACCUCAAGGUCGGCGAGACAGUUGGAGAAGAGGAACAGGGAGGCGGUACAAGGCUCACGGCUGUUGGCUCAAUGAGAAUCCAAUAUGAAAUCCCAGAGUCAUUCAAAUAUACCACUUUUGAGACAAAUCUGUGGGAUCACCAUCCGACACUCAUAUCACCAGCGAGCAUCUUUGGCGAUGCUGCCUUGAUCUCAGGCCAUUGUGAAAUUAGUGAUGCUGCACCCAACCAUGAGUUGGCUGGGACGUUUGUGGAGAUGACACACAAGUUGAUCAUAGAUCCGGCGAUGCAGAUGCUCUCUAGCAUCUAG
rnacentral:rRNA from 1 species